rnacentral:rRNA from 2 species
ACGCCAUGAUCAAGAUAUCGAGGAUCUACAUGCUUAAAGAAAGAGGUUAUGAAAAUCAUCCUAUUUACAAAACUAAAUAUAUUAUCAUAUUAAUAUAAACACAUCCCGAU